AGGUGAACCUGCGGAAGGAUCAUUACUGAGUGAGGGCCCUCUGGGUCCAACCUCCCACCCGUGUUUAUUGUACCUUGUUGCUUCGGUGCGCCCGCCUCACGGCCGCCGGGGGGCUUCUGCCCCCGGGUCCGCGCGCACCGGAGACACCAUUGAACUCUGUCUGAAGAUUGCAGUCUGAGCAUAAACUAAAUAAGUUAAAACUUUCAACAACGGAUCUCUUGGUUCCGGCAUCGAUGAAGAACGCAGCGAAAUGCGAUAACUAAUGUGAAUUGCAGAAUUCAGUGAAUCAUCGAGUCUUUGAACGCACAUUGCGCCCCCUGGUAUUCCGGGGGGCAUGCCUGUCCGAGCGUCAUUGCUGCCCUCAAGCACGGCUUGUGUGUUGGGCUCCGUCCCCCCGGGGACGGGUCCGAAAGGCAGCGGCGGCACCGAGUCCGGUCCUCGAGCGUAUGGGGCUUUGUCACCCGCUCUGUAGGCCCGGCCGGCGCCAGCCGACAACCAAUCAUCCUUUUUUCAGGUUGACCUCGGAUCAGGUAGGGAUACCCGCUGAACUUAAGCAUAUCAUUAAGCGGAGGAA
rnacentral:rRNA from 1 species